rnacentral:tRNA from 2 species
GGUUCAUUCGUAUAGUGGUUAGUAUAGUGGAUUUUGACUACAUACAAAAUUCCAUUGACCCCGGUUCGAACCCGGGAUGGACCU